rnacentral:lncRNA from 1 species
AACUUCACUCAGCGCAACUGUAUCACUUAUAUAGAGGAAAGCACCGAAAACGGUGAAAAACCGUCAUGGCAACACUAAAAUUGAUUGCUGCUGUGCUUUUCAUGGCGUCAUCUGCUGCUUCCUACUCCUCAGGUGGAGAAUGCGACUUCUCAGUCGUUGACGUGGACGCUGCGGUGGACCAGAUCCUUGCCAAGUUUCCCACUAACUACACCCUGACUGAAAACAAAUUCGUACCUGUCAUCGGUGGCCUAGAAGUGGGGCCCCUCAGUGUGUCCGGGUUGAGCAAAAUAACGCGGUACGGUGCUGUACAGCCUUACUGCGUCCGCGGCACGCGCUUUCUUCAAGUGGACUUCAUCAACAACGGCGCCGUAUAUUUUUACGCGCCCUGGCGAAUGUGUUCGAGCCAAAAGGGCCGCGUCAUGAUCGGCGCAGAAUUCUCGCGCUUCACAGUCAUUCUUCGCGUGGACAGAGGAGGCUUUGCCGAGAAUUUCGUUCUCCGUGACGAAGGAUCAAACGUUCCCGUAACAACUUACAACGCUCACGUGAUCGUCGAAGGUGCCGGGCAAGGCGUCAGAACCGCAAUUGCUAUUCUGAGCAAGCUCUUCCCGACAUACGUGACUGAAUUCUGGAAUGAACAAUUCUUUAAUCACUUCACACAUUUCCUUCACACCGCACUGGAGUGAAUCUAACCGACACUUCAUGCUCAGCUGUAUGCAGCAGUCAUUAUGUGAACACUUUCAGGAAAACAGCAGGUGGAACAGUAGCCUCAUUGUAUAAGCCAGAAGGUUUAGUCAGAAUGCACUGAGAUGCUGCUACCGAAUACGAAAAACUUAAGGUGCUUAAUAAAAAGCUUUUACAACUUUAUUUCCAGACCCAUUAUUAAGCUUCGUGCUCAAAUUUCGUUCAGCAGAAAAAUGCGACCAUGGCGAUCUUGUUCACCCAAGAAGCAUUCUCCAGUGCAU